CACUCCGAAAGGAGUGCUAAUACCGCAUAAUGCAGUUGGGUCGCAUGGCUCUGACUGCCAAAGAUUUAUCGCUCUGAGAUGGCCUCGCGUCUGAUUAGCUAGUAGGCGGGGUAACGGCCCACCUAGGCGACGAUCAGUAGCCGGACUGAGAGGUUGACCGGCCACAUUGGGACUGAGACACGGCCCAGACUCCUACGGGAGGCAGCAGUGGGGAAUAUUGGGCAAUGGGCGCAAGCCUGACCCAGCAACGCCGCGUGAAGGAAGAAGGCUUUCGGGUUGUAAACUUCUUUUGUCGGGGACGAAACAAAUGACGGUACCCGACGAAUAAGCCACGGCUAACUACGUGCCAGCAGCCGCGGUAAUACGUAGGUGGCAAGCGUUAUCCGGAUUUACUGGGUGUAAAGGGCGUGUAGGCGGGAUUGCAAGUCAGAUGUGAAAACUGGGGGCUCAACCUCCAG
rnacentral:rRNA from 1 species